rnacentral:rRNA from 1 species
GAUGAACGCUGGCGGCGUGCUUAACACAUGCAAGUCGAACGAAGCGCUUAAGAAUGAUUCUUCGGAUGAUUUAUUUUGCGACUUAGUGGCGGACGGGUGAGUAACGCGUGGGUAACCUGCCUCACACAGGGGGAUGACAGUUAGAAAUGACUGCUAAUACCGCCUAACCCGAUAGGAUCGCAUGAACCAGCCGGAAAAGAUUUAUCGGUGUGAGAUGGACCCGCGUCUGCUUAGCUAGUUGGUGAGGUAACGGCCCACCAAGGCGACGAUCAGUAGCCGGCCUGAGAGGGUGAACGGCCACAUUGGGACUGAGACACGGCCCAAACUCCUACGGGAGGCAGCAGUGGGGAAUAUUGCACAAUGGGGGAAACCCUGAUGCAGCGACGCCGCGUGAGUGAAGAAGUAUUUCGGUAUGUAAAGCUCUAUCAGCAGGGAAGAAAAUGACGGUACCUGACUAAGAAGCCCCGGCUAACUACGUGCCAGCCGCCGCGGUAA